GCGGGCGUGGCGGAAUUGGUAGACGCAGCAGACUUAAAAUCUGCCGGCCGCAAGGUCAUGCCGGUUCAAGUCCGGCCGCCCGCACCA
rnacentral:tRNA from 1 species